UUGGAGGGCAAGUCUGGUGCCAGCAGCCGCGGUAAUUCCAGCUCCAAUAGCGUAUAUUAAAGUUGUUGCAGUUAAAAAGCUCGUAGUUGAAUUUCGGGAUUGACGUGAUGGUCAUGCCUUAAGGGGUAUGAACUGUUACUGUUGAUUUCUCACCUUCUGGAGAAACUUGAUGUCCUUUAUUGGGUGUCUUGCGGAUCCAGGACCUUUACCUUGAAAAAAUUAGAGUGUUUAAAGCAGGUAUUUUUUGCUCGAAUACAUUAGCAUGGAAUAAUAGAAUAGGACGGCAUGGUUCUAUUUUGUUGGUUUCUAGGAUCACCGUAAUGAUUAAUAGGGAUAGUUGGGGGCAUUAGUAUUCAAUUGUCAGAGGUGAAAUUCUUGGAUUUAUUGAAGACUAACUACUGCGAAAGCAUUUGCCAAGGAUGUUUUCAUUAAUCAAGAACGAAAGUUAGGGGAUCGAAGACGAUCAGAUACCGUCGUAGUCUUAACCAUAAACUAUGCCGACUAGGGAUCAGACGAUGUUAAUUUUUUAAUGACUCGUUUGGCACCUUACGGGAAACCAAAGUGUUUGGGUUC
rnacentral:rRNA from 1 species